rnacentral:lncRNA from 1 species
UAUUAUUUUAUUAUUUUAUUAUUUUUAUUUAUUUUUUUCAGGAAAACUAUAAAUACCCUCACGGUGGUUUCACUUUUUCUCACUUUAGUACUCUGUAGUUUAAAGUGUAUCAAGUUAGUACCAUGUGGUUUCACACUUUCUCACUUUAGUACCCUGUGGUUUAAAGUUAUCAAGUUAGUACAAUGUGAUUUCACACUUUCUCAUUUUAGUACCAUGUGAUUUAAUAUUUUAUUAAGAGAAAAUAAAACCACAGAAUACUAACUUGAUAUAAAAAUAAAAUCACAUAGUUCUAACUUGAUACAAAUAUAAAACCACAUAGUACUAAUUUGAUACAUUUUAAACCACAGGGUACUAAAAUAAAAAAAGUAUGAAACCACAGAAUACUAACUUAAUACACUUUAAACUAUAAUGUACUAAAAUAAAAAGUGCGAAAUUACAGGGUGUUUUUUAAGUCUUUCCUUUUUUUUUUUUUUCAGUUGUUGUGGUGGGUUACGUGGGUACGAAGGUUGUGUGGGUCGGUGGUUUUAAUCGCUUUUCUUCGCCAACGCUCGACGCUACUUUUUAUCUUAUUAAAGAUUUCGUUUGAAAUGGUAGAAAUUUUAUAUUAUAUAUAAUAUAAUAAAAUAUUUAUAUUUAUUUUUAACUUAUAUAUAUUUAUAUUUACUAGUUGAGUGUAAAUACAAUUAUACGUAAUAAUUAUUUUAAUUUAUUUUAAAUUAAUAUAAUUUUUUAUAUUAUAUUUAUUUAAAAAGUUAUAAUAAAAAUUAUAAUUUAUAAAUGGCUAAAUUACAAAAAAAUUUCUGUCAAAAUUCGAUUUUUCAUUUUCCCUCCUAUCAUUUAAAAACCUACACCUUGCCCCCUUAUAAAAUAAAAAAUGCUCAUAGGGGUACGGUGUGAACUGAUAAAAUGAUCAUUUUGCCCCUCAUUUUUUUGUCACUCAUCAUGUUUGCAGAAGAGAACACUGAGGACAUUUUUGGCAUAAAAAAUAUAUAAUAAUAUUUUAUAAACGAAACCCUAACGGAUUACUAACGGUAAGGGGUGAAGUGAAUAUUUUCAUUUUAAAAGGGGAAAAAUGUAGUUUUUUAAAUGAUAGGAAGGAAAAGUGAAAAAUCGAAUUUUGACGGGAGAAUUUUAUGUAUUUUAACUUUUAUAAAUUUAUAUGUUAUAUUUUAUUAGAAAAUAUAUGUAAUAUUCUAUAUUAUUAUUUUUAUAUCAAAAAUUAAAUUUAAUUCAUGAUUUAAAUUUAAAUUUAAAUUUAAAUGUAAAAUAGAUUAAUAGAAAUGCUAUUUUUUAACGAAUUGAUCAUAACCGUUUAUUUUUAUUUGAAUAAUUUUUAAUAAAUUGAUUAUAAAUAUUCGUAUUGAAUUUAUAGAUAAAUAUGAAUGUUGUUUUUUAACAUAUUGAUCAUAAUCGUUCAUUUUUAUUUGAGAUAUUUUUUAAUAAAUUGAUCAUAACUGUUCGUAGAUAAUAUUCUCUUAUUCUUUUUUGAUUCCGUCUUACAAUAACAGCAAAAUAAAAAAUAUAUAUUUUCUUGGUAUUUAAUCUCA